GAUGAACGCUGGCGGCGCGCCUAACACAUGCAAGUCGAACGAUUAAAGCACCUUCGGGUGUGUAUAAAGUGGCGAACGGCUGAGUAACACGUGGGCAAACUGCCCCUUUCAUUGGGAUAGCGACGGGAAACGGUGGAUAAUACCGAAUACUUCGACACUUCCGCAUGGAAGACUCGAGAAAGCUCCGGCGGGGCGGGAUGGGCGCGCGGCCUGUUAGCUUGUUGGUGGGGUCACGGCCUACCAAGGCAAUGAUGGGUAGCGGGGUUGAGAGUCAGACCAGCCAGAUUGGCACUGAGACACGACCCAGAGUGCUACGGGAGGCAGCAGUGGGGAAUCUUGCACAAUGGGCGAAGGCCUGAUGCAGCGACGCCGCGUGCGGGAUGAAGGCCUUCGGGUUGUAAACCGCUUUCAGCAGAGACGGGGCGAAAGUGACGGUACCUGCAGAAGAAGCCCCGGCUAACUACGUG
rnacentral:rRNA from 1 species